GACGAACGCUGGCGGCGUGCUUAACACAUGCAAGUCGAACGGAAAGGCCCUGCUUUUGUGGGGUGCUCGAGUGGCGAACGGGUGAGUAACACGUGAGUAACCUGCCCUUGACUUUGGGAUAACUUCAGGAAACUGGGGCUAAUACCGGAUAGGAGCUCCUGCUGCAUGGUGGGGGUUGGAAAGUUUCGGCGGUUGGGGAUGGACUCGCGGCUUAUCAGCUUGUUGGUGGGGUAGUGGCUUACCAAGGCUUUGACGGGUAGCCGGCCUGAGAGGGUGACCGGCCACAUUGGGACUGAGAUACGGCCCAGACUCCUACGGGAGGCAGCAGUGGGGAAUAUUGCACAAUGGGCGGAAGCCUGAUGCAGCAACGCCGCGUGCGGGAUGACGGCCUUCGGGUUGUAAACCGCUUUCGCCUGUGACGAAGCGUGAGUGACGGUAAUGGGUAAAGAAGCACCGGCUAACUACGUGCCAGCAGCCGCGGUGAUACGUAGGGUGCGAGCGUUGUCCGGAUUUAUUGGGCGUAAAGGGUUCGUAGGUGGUUGAUCGCGUCGGAAGUGUAAUCUUGGGGCUUAACCCUGAGCGUGCUUUCGAUACGGGUUGACUUGAGGAAGGUAGGGGAGAAUGGAAUUCCUGGUGGAGCGGUGGAAUGCGCAGAUAUCAGGAGGAACACCAGUGGCGAAGGCGGUUCUCUGGGCCUUUCCUGACGCUGAGGAGCGAAAGCGUGGGGAGCGAACAGGCCUAGAUACCCUGGUAGUCCACGCUGUAAACGGUGGGUACUAGGUGUGGGGUCCAUUCCACGGGUUCCGUGCCGUAGCUAACGCUUUAAGUACCCCGCCUGGGGAGUACGGCCGCAAGGCUAAAACUCAAAGGAAUUGACGGGGCCCCGCACAAGCGGCGGAGCAUGCGGAUUAAUUCGAUGCAACGCGUAGAACCUUACCUGGGUUUGACAUGGAUCGGGAGUGCUCAGAGAUGGGUGUGCCUCUUUUGGGGUCGGUUCACAGGUGGUGCAUGGCUGUCGUCAGCUCGUGUCGUGAGAUGUUGGGUUAAGUCCCGCAACGAGCGCAACCCCUGUUCACUGUUGCCAGCACGUUAUGGUGGGGACUCAGUGGAGACCGCCGGGGUCAACUCGGAGGAAGGUGGGGAUGACGUCAAGUCAUCAUGCCCCUUAUGUCCAGGGCUUCACGCAUGCUGCAAUGGCUGGUACAGAGAGUGGCGAGCCUGUGAGGGUGAGCGAAUCUCGGAAAGCCGGUCUCAGUUCGGAUUGGGGUCUGCAACUCGACCUCAUGAAGUCGGAGUCGCUAGUAAUCGCAGAUCAGCAACGCUGCGGUGAAUACGUUCCCGGG
rnacentral:rRNA from 1 species